CCUACGGGAGGCAGCAGUGAGGAAUAUUGGUCAAUGGGCGGGAGCCUGAACCAGCCAAGCCGCGUGAGGGAAGAAGGUACAGCGUAUCGUAAACCUCUUUUGUCAGGGAACAAAGGCGGGGACUAGUCCCCGGAUGAGUGUACCUGAAGAAAAAGCAUCGGCUAACUCCGUGCCAGCAGCCGCGGUAAUACGGAGGAUGCGAGCGUUAUCCGGAUUUAUUGGGUUUAAAGGGUGCGCAGGCGGUCUGUUAAGUCAGCGGUCCAAGCCCGGGGCUCAACCCCGGCCCGCCGAUGAAACUGGCCGUU
rnacentral:rRNA from 1 species